CCUGGACGGCCCGGCGGAGGGCUCACCGCUGCGGGUGGUGGCGGUGGACUACCGCACCGGCCGCCGGGUCGUCUUCGGGGACCAGGGC
rnacentral:tRNA from 1 species